rnacentral:rRNA from 1 species
UACGAAGGGGGGCUAGCGUUGCUCGGAAUCACUGGGCGUAAAGGGUGCGUAGGCGGGUCUUUUAAGUCAGGGGUGAAAUCCUGGAGCUCAACUCCAGAACUGCCUUUGAUACUGAAGAUCUUGAGUUCGGGAGAGGUGAGUGGAACUGCGAGUGUAGAGGUGAAAUUCGUAGAUAUUCGCAAGAACACCAGUGGCGAAGGCGGCUCACUGGCCCGAUACUGACGCUGAGGCACGAAAAGCGUGGGGGAGCAAAACAGG